rnacentral:lncRNA from 1 species
UUAUAUAAAGAGUGGCACCGCAAAGUUAAGUUCUUUUGGGGUUAGAAUCUCGGCGAUAGUGCAGUAAGUAGUUUUAUUCUAUUAGGCGAACAGUUUUUUUCUAAAGUUUGUAAUACAAUUUAGAAUGCAUAUGAAUUAACUUUUGGACUAAAAACGCAUGCAAAUUUUCAUACUUUGCUGUGAAAAGUCACUUAAAAUCAAUUAUAUGACGAUUGUUAUUUCCAACGUAUAGUCGUGUUAAGGGAAUUUUCUGUAUGAGAUCAUUGUCAAUUGAGAUUGAAUAGUAAUGUGAAGGUCAGUUAACGGUAUGGGGAGAAAUUUUCUUUGUGAUUGUCUUAUUCCUAUUUUUGAUCAAAAUUGUAAGCAAAAUGUUGAGGAUUAAUUGGUUGGCAUUUCAAUAGUUUAUUCCGCAAGUUUGUUCUUCUCUCCAAGUUUCCAUGAUGCUGCAAUUCCUGUUGGAGGAUUCGUGACAAUGGGUUUGCAACACCGAUAUUAUUGAGGGGGUGAUUAAUUUGUGUUUCUAGAAGUAAUCCUCCAUUGCAUAAGCAAUUACAUGUGCUAUGUAACCUGUUAGCUAUGGUGUUGGAAUGAUAUUGUAUAUUUAUUGAAAACUGGCUGACUGAUACUUUACAACACAUUAAGUUGUUUCACUCUUAUUAGUUGAACCUGCCACAUGUUAAAGGUACCAUUAAGCAUUUAAAGUAUUUUAGCAUAUGAUUGCUUAAUAUUUCUUUGAGAAUUUUCUUUCAGGUUGGAAGAAUAUAUUAAAGUUAGUGUCUUUUUCACUAUUUGAAGGCCUGAAUUGCAGCCCAUUUCAAGUGAUACUUUAUCUAAAAUGUUAUUUCAUUUCAGAUUUCAAACAUUGGUUCUGUGGAUUGAAUUAGCAUUUCACUUUUGUGGGUAAUUUAAUUUUAAAAUUUAAUUCUAAAUCUCUGAAAAAUUUGACAGGUCAAGUAAAUUGUCAUUUAUUGAAGAUGCUUUUUUCUCAGGGUUGGAAUGACGAACGAGUUGGCAAGUUGUGCAAGGCGAGUUUAGCUAUUCGUCAUCUUUUAUUAUUACACUAUUGCACGUAUAUUUGUUUUUUUGAUGCAGAUUUUGGGUGGGUUAGGACUGAGCUUUGUUAAAGUAUUUAACUGAAAGGUUAAAUUUUUUUAUUCACGUGGAGAAUCAAAUAUCACAUGUCACAAUCUAUCUGUAUUUUAGGUGGUUCGGCAUCAGCGAAUGAUAGUCCCGACUGUUAGUAAAUGGAUCUUGGAUUUACUACAAUUUCUGGUGAUACUACGGUGAUUAUUCAUCGGCGGGGUUUGUUAACUGAUUUAAAAUACACAAAGUAAAUAAAGUUAAACGAAACGAUAAUCCUGCGAUCAACGUAUGGUCGUUGCUUGUUAUGAAACCGAAAAGCAUAGUGAUACAUACUCUGAAAUGAAGUCGCUGGCAAAUGUAGCAAUGUCCAAAAAUUUCCCUACACGUAAAUUUUUUCCCAUGUUAACAUUUUUAUAAAAAAGGAUGAUUGUGUGGUUUAUUUAUUUUUCUUCAGCCAUGUUACUUCAUGACUUGUGAUAAAACCGUAACGGAUAAUGCCGUAAUGUUUGUCUCAAACAUAUUUUAUACAUUUGUUUUUAAUCAAAUGAUGAAUAUAACGUGUGAUGAAAUGUUAAUAAACAAAAUCUGAAAUUACCUUA